CAUCCUAGGAGAAAGAAAAACAGUGAAGAUAAUGUACACUGCGGCCAUAUCUGUGCUCCUUGUGAGAAACGUGGCUCUUGUCUGUGGCACAGAAGUAACUGGAAACACAGGGCUCAUGACUUUAGCAGCACAGACCGAGACUGAACCCCGCAUUACAGAUUAAGAGCCGCUGUUUUCAAACUUUGCCUCAGUUUAACGCCUGCAACAGGCUCCCUCUCUCCUCCUGGCUCCUGUGUCUCCAGCCCAGCAUCACGUCAAAGCGUGCAAUAGAGCCGUCGAUCCGCUAGAGGAUACUGUGCUAGUGUCACGUUUUGCCUCUCUUUGUAUAAAGGUAGCUACAGUAACAGCAGGAGGUGAUCAUUUCACAGUACAGACAGCUCAGUCGUUACAGAGCAUCUUUGCCAUUAGCAACGACUCCUCACAGACCAAAGACAAGUAUACAGUUUAUCCAAGCUCCUUUCCCCCCCAGCUCCUGUUGAUACCCGCCACUGUUAACCGCAUAACAUCCAUCAGUACCUCCUGUAUUAAAAAACCAACAGCUCAAAAAUGCCAAGCAACGGGUCAACCACCAAAAGGUGUGUGUUCUGCCACACGCAGCUCGGUGUAGCCUGCAAGACGUGCAAGGCGUGCAAGGCAGAGCAGCCACGUAAGCUGAGGCUCAAAAGGAAAAUGGACAGGUUCGAUCAGAAGCGCGACAGCUGGGUCCACUCCCAUCAGAAGUAUCAUACCGUCUCUCACAUCCGGGACGAAGCGUACAUGUUGCUGGAAAAACUGCAAGCCCUGGGAAUCAGGGCUGUUUUGCUUAUGGCUAGGCCAGUCAGAAAGACAAAUGCCUGGCAGUCUGAGGUAUUGACACCCCGCUGUGAGCUGACUGAGACAUCAAGUACAUUUCUGCAAAGGAUGAAGGACGUCUAUGAUAUUGUUGUGAAAGUGCUUCUUCAAUGGAGGCUGGACCCCACAAGGUGCUGCAGGACAGCUGGACGAAGCCUUCUCAGCCCGGGUUGAACUCCCAGCUGGACCACGAGUGGCCUCAGCAGAUCUCCAGACGGCACUGUCCCUGCUCGAUCCCCAAGCAGCCUCCACUGGACCACCAACGGUCCUGAAUCAACCACCAGCAGCCCCAGUUGACCUCCCAGCAGCCCUGUUUGGACAACUGAGGUCCACAAUUGGACAUCCAGCAGCUCUGUUACGACCCUUAGCACACCAUGAAGCUCUAGAGCAGCAAACACUGGACCUCCAGAGGAAAGGACAUCCAGAAGCCUCCCAAGUUUUUCUUGAAAAAGGCGGACUGAGAGAAAUCAAAACAGAAGCAGGAGAUUCUCCCACACCUCUGUAUGCACCAGCUACCUCGUCCCUCGACAUCAAAACCGAACCCGAGGACAUCGAAACAACCAGCAAUCACACUGCCGACCUCAUGCCCUCGCCUGUGCUGCUAGUCACUGUGACAGACGCAGGUUUUGUUGAUGGCGGCCCUCACACCAAAUCCCAGAGUGUUAUGGAUGAGUGUAAAUAUCGGAACAGAGAUGCCACCACCUGUAGUUACGAUGCAGCAGAGUUACAAGCGAUGCAGCUCGACACAAGGAUUCCCCAAACAACCCAAGCCUCACACAACACUCAGUCCUUCAACAUGGUGGAGGCUUCAUCCUAUCAGCCCUCCACCAGCUGUGAUCUGGACACAAUGGACCUCGAUCAGCUGAGGAGGGAAAAAAUAAAGAUGCAGAUAAAAGUGUUGAGGUUACAAGAGGAACACUACACUCUGAAAAUAAAGGGACAUAAAAAAAUGAAUUUUUUUCACUGAAGCCUGGUUGUAAAGCCUAUGGCUGCAACAGGACAAUACGGCCACUCAGGGAUCACCGAGGGAGUUUGCUGGUCUACCAGAAACACUCCCAUCAGUUAUCAACUUCAUCAUCAACUUUAAAUUCCAUCUGUGAAUGGAAGCCCGAUUUACCUCCCACAAACUUGAAACAGCAAAAACAGGUACAGGUGAUGCAAAGUAACAAGAUCCAGUAUUUAUUUAAUCCCAUUUUUGAAACUUGUGAGAGUACAGAAGCUACAUCACAUGAACAUUUUUAAUGGGUAUGUGCCUCAAUACUUGUGUUCUCAGAUAACAAUGGUCCCAUACUGCACACAACUAUAUCAUUUAAAGUGCCUUAAGUGAAUAAUGUAGCUAGUUUAAAUUAUGUCGAUGUGUUUUUGGAUUUCAAGACUGUGUCAUUAUGUUGAAUGUCUCGUGCGUCUUAGUGUUUCCUCUGUCUUCUUCCAUGCAGGAAAAAAAGCAUUUCCCUUGACACGUUAUCCUUGGGAUUUUUGCUUUUGGUUCUGUGUCUGACAAUUUAUAAAUAAAAUCAAGUCGGUUCUGUGACAAGCCUAAAA